ensembl:lncRNA
UAAACCUAUCCCUUACAGAAAACCUGUUUGCAUUGUUACACUUUCAGAUAACCAUCAUUUAAUAUUUAUAAUGAAUGUUUUUCCUCAAAAUGUUUUCCAUGUCAAAUUUUUUUUUUUUUAGGUUUUACUAUCCUUAUGCUACAUUUGGUCCUUACAAUUUAGCAUAAACAAGUACACCCACACACACACACACACACACACACACACACAUAGAGUGACGUAUGGGACAGCUGAAGUGGACACCGGUUUAGCUGAGUGCACAGAGUGUACAAAAACUGAUAAUCUUCACACACACAUACACACAUACUGGGAGUUUACGGACUGUUCUUAGAAAAGCUCACUCAGCAUUCUGUUCUAGAACGCUCCCAGCAUGAGAGAGAUACACAUCAUUACAGCUUGUGCUGUUUCACACAUCACUUGUUUUCCUUUUAUUAUAAUUUUUCAUCCAGUCGUGAUUUGCAGGUGGAGCUGUUUGUCUGAACAAUGGAACAUAAAAAUGAUGUUAAGGAAACCUGUUCAGUAACAUCAUAAAUAAGAUUUGAUUCCUUCAUUUCUUAGUACAAGAUGGUAACGGUAGUGACUGUUUUGUCAUCAUUGUAUUAAUUUCCAAGCUGUAUUUGACAAUUUUAAAGACGUGUGUUUUCUUUCUUGACUCUAUCACUGGCAUUUUAGAAACUCAGAGGUCAGUGUGUGCCAGAGUGAGUGUCUGCCUGUGUUUGUGCUGUCUGGGUACAAUUUUGCAAGAGCGUGUGGUUUGGCAUAUUUAACUCUUCCUCUUUAGGCUUCGGGUCUUAUCAGGAGAAAACACCACACCAUUUACAUGCACACAACGUCCACAGACACACGCUUACAAAAGACGGAUGUUGAAAGAUCGAGUGCAAAAUGGCAUAAGUUUGAUUAACAUAUGCAUAAUAACAAUUUGUAUAAUCUGAAUAAGCAGAAAGACAAGCUCAGCAUUAUUCUUGUAAUGUAAUUUCUGAAAGAAAUUCAUUUAGGCUAUAAAAAUAACACAACAUACAGUAAAACAAAAAAGACUUUUUACACAUUCUGAAUAAAAU